rnacentral:rRNA from 1 species
CCUACGGGAGACAGCAGUGGGGGAUAUUGCACAAUGGGGGAAACCCUGAUGCAGCGACGCCGCGUGGGUGAAGGAGUGCUUCGGCAUGUAAAGCCCUAUCGGCAGGGAAGAAGCAAGACGGUACCUGACUAAGAAGCCCCGGCUAACUACGUGCCAGCAGCCGCGGUAAUACGUAGGGGGCGAGCGUUAUCCGGAUUCACUGGGUGUAAAGGGAGCGUAGACGGCCAUGCAAGCCAGGGGUGAAAGCCCGGGGCCCAACCCCGGGACUGCCCUUGGAACUGUGCGGCUAGAGUGCGGGAGGGGCAGGCGGAAUUCCUGGUGUAGCGGUGAAAUGCGUAGAUAUCAGGAGGAACACCGGCGGCGAAGGCGGCCUGCUGGACCGCGACUGACGUUGAGGCUCGAAAGCGUGGGGAGCGAACAGGAUUAGAUACCCCUGUAGUC